AAACUAAAUGAUCCCUGUCCAUAGAUACGGUUGUUCACUCUGUUCCCAAGUCAACCACUCCAUCUUGUCCAUAAGGACAUC